rnacentral:lncRNA from 1 species
CCUUCCUUCAGCCCUCUUACUUCUUUAAGGCCUUACAUAGAAGUACACAAAUAAGUACUUGAUCUAGAAUCUAAAUCCCAACUAGAAGAAGAGGAAAUCAUUAGAUUAGUUUCAAUAACGAGCAUAUCAGACAUACCUUCAGAAGGUCCAUCUUUCUUUCUGCUUUUGACAGUCACCAGAUAGGCCGAACAGUUCCUCUUUCAAUAGCCUU